rnacentral:rRNA from 1 species
UACGUAGGUGGCAAGCGUUAUCCGGAAUUACUAGGCGUAAAGCGCACGCAGGCGGUCUUUUAAGUUUGACGUGAAAGCUCUCGGCUUAACUGGGAGAGGUCGUUGAAGACUGGAAGGCUUGAGGCAAUGAGAGGGGUGUAGAAUUCCCGGUGUAGUGGUGGAAUGCGUAGAUAUCGGGGGGAAUACCAGUGGCGAAAGCGGCACCCUAGCGUUAGCCUGACGCUCAUGUGCGAAAGCGUGGGGAGCGAACGGG